GAUGAACGUUGGCGGCGUGCCUAAUACAUGCAAGUCGAACGAAGACUGUAGUAAUACUGUCUUAGUGGCGAACGGGUGAGUAACGCGUGGGUGACCUGCCCCGAAGUGUGGGAUAACAGUCCGAAAGGAUUGCUAAUACUGCAUAAUAUCCAAGAGAUUAGAUGCUUUUUGGAUUAAAGGAGUAAUUCGCUUCGGGAGGGGCCCGCGUCCCAUCAGCUAGUUGGUAAGGUAAUGGCUUACCAAGGCGAUGACGGGUAGGGGACCUGAGAGGGUGGCCCCCCACAAUGGAACUGAAACACGGUCCAUACACCUACGGGUGCAGCAGUAGGGAAUAUUAGUAAUGGGCGAAAGCCUGAACUAGCAACGCCGCGUGUGCGAAGAAGGCCUUCGGGUUGUAAAGCACUUUUUGAGAGGAUGGAGGAAGGACGGGUACUCUCAGAAUAAGUCUCGGCUAACUACGUG
rnacentral:rRNA from 1 species